UACGAAGGGGGCUAGCGUUGCUCGGAAUUACUGGGCGUAAAGGGCGCGUAGGCGGACAGUUUAGUCAGAGGUGAAAGCCCAGGGCUCAACCUUGGAAUUGCCUUUGAUACUGGCUGUCUUGAGUACGGGAGAGGUGAGUGGAACUCCGAGUGUAGAGGUGAAAUUCGUAGAUAUUCGGAAGAACACCAGUGGCGAAGGCGACUAACUGGACAAGUAUUGACGCUGAGGUACGAAAGCGUGGGGAGCAAACAGG
rnacentral:rRNA from 1 species